rnacentral:rRNA from 1 species
GGAUUGACGGACUGAAGGCUCUUUCUCGAUUCCGUGGAAAGUGGUGCAUGGCUGUUUUUGGUUGGUGGAUCGAUCCGUCUGGUUAAUUCCGUUAACGAACGAGACCUCGGCACUCCGAAUAGCGCGGCGGACGUCGCGGCCUCCGGGCCGUCUUCCGCACGAGCUUCUUAGAGGGACCGUCCCCCGCCGGGGAAGGAGGUGCGAGGCAACGACAGGUCUGUGAUGCCCUUAGAUGUUCUGGGCCGCACGCGCAUUACACUGACGCGUCCAACGGGUGACUCCCGACCCGAAGGGGCCGGGGAAUCCGCAAGGCGCGUCGUGAUGGGGAUUGAACGUUGCAAUUGUUGUUCACGAACGAGGAAUUCCUAGUAGGCGCGGGUCAUCAACCCGCGCCGAUUACGUCCCUGCCCUUUGUACACACCGCCCG